UACAGAGGGGGCAAGCGUUAUUCGGAAUUAUUGGGCGUAGAGGGCGCGUAGGCGGCUUGGCAAGUGGAUGGUGAAAUCCCUCGGCUUAACCGAGGAACUGCCGUCCAAACUGCUUCGCUUGAGACCGGGAGAGGUGAGUGGAAUUCCCAGUGUAGCGGUGAAAUGCGUAGAUAUUGGGAGGAACACCAGUGGCGAAGGCGGCUCACUGGACCGGUACUGACGCUGAUGCGCGAAAGCGUGGGGAGCAAACGGG
rnacentral:rRNA from 1 species